rnacentral:rRNA from 1 species
GACGAACGCUGGCGGCGUGCCUAAUACAUGCAAGUAGAACGCUGAAGCUUGGUGCUUGCACCGAGCGGAUGAGUUGCGGACGGGUGAGUAACGCGUAGGUAACCUGCCUGGUAGCGGGGGAUAACUAUUGGAAACGAUAGCUAAUACCGCAUAAGAGUAGAUGUUGCAUGACAUUUGCUUAAAAGGUGCAAUUGCAUCACUACCAGAUGGACCUGCGUUGUAUUAGCUAGUUGGUGAGGUAACGGCUCACCAAGGCAACGAUACAUAGCCGACCUGAGAGGGUGAUCGGCCACACUGGGACUGAGACACGGCCCAGACUCCUACGGGAGGCAGCAGUAGGGAAUCUUCGGCAAUGGACGGAAGUCUGACCGAGCAACGCCGCGUGAGUGAAGAAGGUUUUCGGAUCGUAAAGCUCUGUUGUAAGAGAAGAACGAGUGUGAGAGUGGAAAGUUCACACUGUGACGGUAUCUUACCAGAAAGGGACGGCUAACUACGUG